GUGCUCACUUCAGCAGCACAUAUACUAAAACUGGAAUGAUACUGAGAUUAGCAUGGCCCCUGCACAACGAUGACAGGCAAAUUCACGAAGCGUUCCAUUAGGGA
ensembl:snRNA U6 U6 spliceosomal RNA